UUCUUUUCUCUCUGUUUCUGUUUUCUUUUCCGAUUUGGAUGUGAUAGUUGUUGUGGAUGUUGUUCUUUGUUUAUGAUGAUGAUGAAUAAUAUUGAUAAUGAUUAUGGUGUUGAUGAUGAGAAUAGUAGAUUAACUUUUUAUUUUUUUAUUUUUUGUCUUUAUCGUGGUGUAUGAAAUUGGAGAAGGUGGUCUUUCAUAAUGGUGUUGGGUUUUAUGGUAG
rnacentral:lncRNA from 1 species